rnacentral:rRNA from 1 species
GACGUAGGAUGCAAGCGUUGUCCGGAUUUAUUGGGCGUAAAGAGUUCGUAGGUGGUUCGUUAAGUCUGAUGUUAAAGACCGGGGCUCAACUUCGGGACUGCAUUGGAUACUGGCAGACUUGAGUGUGGUAGAGGCAAUCGGAAUUCCAGGUGUAGCGGUGAAAUGCGUAGAUAUCUGGAGGAACACCGGUGGCGAAGGCGGCAUCCUGGACCGGCAUUGACGCUGAGGCGCGAAAGCCAGGGGAGCAAACGGG